rnacentral:rRNA from 1 species
CUGGCUCAGGAUGAACGCUAGCUACAGGCUUAACACAUGCAAGUCGAGGGGCAGCGGUAUCGAAAGCUUGCUUUCGGUAGCCGGCGACCGGCGCACGGGUGAGUAACGCGUAUCGAACCUGCCUCAUACUCGGGAAUAGCCUUGCGAAAGUAAGAUUAAUGCCCGGUGUUUUCAGAUCCCCGCAUGAGGGUUUGAACAAAGAUUUAUCGGUAUGAGAUGGCGAUGCGUCCCAUUAGCUUGUUGGCGGGGUAACGGCCCACCAAGGCAUCGAUGGGUAGGGGUUCUGAGAGGAAGGUCCCCCACAUUGGAACUGAGACACGGUCCAAACUCCUACGGGAGGCAGCAGUGAGGAAUAUUGGUCAAUGGGCGGAAGCCUGAACCAGCCAAGUAGCGUGCAGGAAGACGGCCCUCCGGGUUGUAAACUGCUUUUAGUUGGGAAUAAAACGGGGCUCGUGAGCCCCCUUGCAUGUACCAUCAGAAAAAGGACCGGCUAAUUCCGUGCCAGCAGCCGCGGUAAUACGGAAGGUCCGGGCGUUAUCCGGAUUUAUUGGGUUUAAAGGGAGCGCAGGCGGACCUUUAAGUCAGCUGUGAAAUACGGCGGCUCAACCGUCGAACUGCAGUUGAUACUGGAGGUCUUGAGUGCACACAGGGAUGCUGGAAUUCAUGGUGUAGCGGUGAAAUGCUCAGAUAUCAUGAAGAACUCCGAUCGCGAAGGCAGGCAUCCGGGGUGCAACUGACGCUGAGGCUCGAAAGUGCGGGUAUCAAACAGGAUUAGAUACCCUGGUAGUCCGCACAGUAAACGAUGAAUACUCGCGGUUUGCGAUAGACUGUAAGCCGCCAAGCGAAAGCGUUAAGUAUUCCACCUGGGGAGUACGCCGGCAACGGUGAAAC